GAUGAACGCUAGCGGCAGGCCUAACACAUGCAAGUCGAGGGGUAGAAGGAGCUUGCUCCUUUGAGACCGGCGCACGGGUGCGUAACGCGUAUGCAAUCUACCUUUUACAGAGGGAUAACCCAGAGAAAUUUGGAUUAAUACCUCAUAGUAUAUAUCAUUCGCAUGUUUGGUAUAUUAAAGUUCAAACGGUAAAAGAUGAGCAUGCGUCCCAUUAGUUAGUUGGUAAGGUAACGGCUUACCAAGACGAUGAUGGGUAGGGGUCCUGAGAGGGAGAUCCCCCACACUGGUACUGAGACACGGACCAGACUCCUACGGGAGGCAGCAGUGAGGAAUAUUGGUCAAUGGACGCAAGUCUGAACCAGUCAUGCCGCGUGCGGGAAGAAGGCCUUCGGGUUGUAAACCGCUUUUGUCAGGGAAGAAACGCUCUGGGUUAAUACCUCGGGGUAAUGACGGUACCUGAAGAAUAAGCACCGGCUAACUACGUGCCAGCAGCCGCAGUAAAAC
rnacentral:rRNA from 1 species